rnacentral:tRNA from 1 species
GCCGUAAAAGCGGGAGCAAUCCCUUCGUAAGGGAAAGGUCCCCGGUUCAAAUCCGGGAAACGGCU